CGGUGUAUGGAAGGGCUGUAAGGUGUACAUGUCCAACUGGCAGGUAUCAUCUGACCUUGACCUCCUUUUCAUGGUUUAGUGGUUAUAGUUACUUUUUUGUGUUUUGGUCGGUUUUUCUCAUACUUUAUGCAAUAGGGCAACUGUAUUUCAUGUAUGGAAAUAUUUUCUAAUCUAUUUGUUAGUCGCACAGGUUAGAUUUGACCUUGACCUCAUUUUCAAGGUUCAUUGCUCAGUGUUGAGUUUUUGUGUUUUGGUACGUAUUUCUUAAACUGUAAGCAAUAGGUCAGUUUGUGCACUCUUGUUGAUAGAAC
rnacentral:lncRNA from 1 species